CUAGCUAGAAGCAGGUCAUCUUAUGCAACUGAAUUGGAAAGCACAUUUGGCUUUUUUUGAUUGGUCCUGAGUUGGAAGCUGGGGCAAGAAUCAGGGGAAGCUGGCAGUCACUGACCAAGUUUUAAUCAUUUUGGGCUGAUUGCUGCAGCAAUUGUGCGUCAGAGUUGGAUUGCAUAUUUGGUCUGGCCAUUGUUUUUUCCGUUUUUCAAGGAGGGAGGAGAUUUUUUGUAGUCUGAAAAUUCUUCACUGAACUGAUAGUUGGACCAAGUGUUGUGGCUCACAGCUGGAGAGAAAUUUGCCUCAGGAUGAAUCACACAUUUGAGUCUCAACAAUUCCUGAUCUUGAUGACAUUUAGAUGAGACUCUGGACUUCAGGCUUUUGAGUUGGUGCUGGAACAAGGUCCCACUUAUAAGUGAGAACAUGCAGUGUUUGGUUUUCUGUUCCUGUGUUCGUUUGCUGAGGAUAAUGGCUUCCAGUUCCAUCCAUGUGCCUGCAAAGGACACGAUCUCUUUCCUUUUGAUGGCUGCAAUAAUAUCCAGCAUUUUUGAAGCUACAAAACAUGGCUGGGUGCGGUGGCUCAUUCCUGUAAUCCCAGCACUUUGGGAGGCCGAGGCAGGCGGAUCAUGAGGUCAGGAGAUGGAGAACAUCCUGACCAACAUGGUGAAACCCCGUCUCUACUAAAAUACAAAAAAAAAAAAAAUUAUCUGGGCAUGGUGGCACGCACCUGUAGUCCCAGCUACUCUGGAGGCUGAGGCAGGGGAAUCACUUGAACCUUGGAGGUGGAGGUUGCAGUGAGCUGAGAUCACACCACUGCACUCCAGCCUGGCGACAGAGCGAGACUCCAUCUCAAAAAAGCAAAAACAAACAAGAAAAAAUAAUAAAAAAGAAAACCCUAAAAAACACAUAUUCAAAUAACUAAAGAGAAAAUCUUUUCAAAUAGGACUUAAAGGCUUAAAUGAAGACCACGAGGAAUGAUGAUAGGAUAUGCUGAGGAAACUGAUGAGAUUCAGUUGGCUAUCAUGAAGUUUUGUACAGAAGUGUGGGGAGAAAAGUGCGAAUUAGGUAAUGGAGAGUUUGAGUAUAGGACUACUCCAUGUCCAUCACAGUCCAUCUCUUGCAUUUCUCAGAUUCAUUUCUUCACAUACAUUUUGGCAAGCAACUCUUUCAGGAUUCAUUCCAGCAGGCCUUCCUGCCUGGAGGAAACUUAAAAGAAGGUUAGUGAAAUAAACUAUGGCCCCUGCCUCUACAAAUGUUCUUAGUAAAUAUGAAUUUCUUUUGUCAACAGUGUAGCAGAGUAUUAUUUUUUAAAUACUUACCAGUUUGUGUCCUCUUACCAAUAAAAUAUUUCCUCCUUAUCUAACAUCUGCCAUUUAGGUAAAGCUCUGAAUUAGAUUUGGAAAAGAAGAGGAUGCAGGGAAAAUGAGAAGGGGAAGUAAAAGAUCAGCCUGCUCCUUGCAGGCAAGAAAGGGAUACAGUGGUAGGGUGAGAACAGCAAGUGUUGAGAUGUUUUGCUGUAACAGGACACCAAAGUAGAAAUGUAUG